UUUUUUAAAAAUGUUACAGGAAUGUCAUAAGCGGUUUGCUUGCAGACUUUUAAAUUAUACAACUUUCAACAACGGAUCUCUUGGCUCUCGCAUCGAUGAAGAACGCAGCGAAAUGCGAUAAGUAAUGUGAAUUGCAGAAUUCAGUGAAUCAUCGAAUCUUUGAACGCACCUUGCGCUCCUUGGUAUUCCGAGGAGCAUGCCUGUUUGAGUGUCAUUAAAUUCUCAACCAUUCCUGUGGUGACACACAUGGAGUUGGCUUGGAAGUGGGGGCUGCGGGCUUCUUUCAGAAGUCGGCUCCUCUUAAAUGCAUUAGCAGAACCUUUGUGGGCCUGCCCUUGGUGUGAUAAUUAUCUACGCUCUGGGUUGGAACACAGAUUUACAUGGGGUUCAGCUUCUAACUGUCUUUUUCACGAGACAAACUCUUUUGACAUUUUGACCUCAAAUCAGGUAGGACUACCCGCUGAACUUAAGCAUAUCAAUAAGCGGAGGA
rnacentral:rRNA from 1 species